rnacentral:rRNA from 1 species
UACGGGGGGGGGCAAGCGUUGUUCGGAAUUAUUGGGCGUAAAGAGCUCGUAGGCGGUCUGUUGCGUCCGCUGUGAAAACUCGGGGCUUAACCCCGAGCCUGCAGUGGAUACGGGCAGACUAGAGGUAGGUAGGGGAGAAUGGAAUUCCCGGUGUAGCGGUGAAAUGCGCAGAUAUCGGGAGAACACCGGUGGCGAAGGCGGUUCUCUGGGGCCUUACCUGACGCUGAGGAGCGAAAGCGUGGGGAGCGAACAGGAUUGAGAUACC